rnacentral:tRNA from 1 species
CCUGGUGGCUCAGACAGUAAAGUAUCUGCCUGCAGAGCAGGAGACCUGGGUUCGAUCCCUGGGUCAGGA